CCGUGAGGUGUCGGCUUAAGUGCCCAUAACGAGCGCAACCCCUGCGGGCAGUUGCUAACGGAUAAAGCCGAGGACUCUGCCCGGACUGCCGGCGCAAGCCGUGAGGAAGGCGGGGAUGACGUCAAAUCAGCCACGGGCCUGACGUGCGGGGCGACACACGUGUUACAAUGGGGAGUACAGCGGGAAACCAGGUGGCGACACCGAGCGGAACCCGAAAGCUCCUCUCAGUUCGGAAUCGGAGUCUGCAAUCCGACUUCGUGAAGCUGGAUUUGCUAGUAAUCGCGCAUCAGCCAUGGCGCGGUGAAUACGUUCCCGGGCCUUGUACACACCGCCCGUCAAGCCAUGGAAGCCGAGGGCGCUUGAAAUGUGACCCCGCGAGGCGCGCCCUAGAGCGAAAUUGGUGACUGGGGCUAAGUCGUAACAAGGUAA
rnacentral:rRNA from 1 species